UAUAUUCUAGUAUAUGGUGUACAAAAAUUUUUGAUAUUUUAAGGAAUAGUUUGACUCUAUUGGAUAUAA
rnacentral:tRNA from 1 species